AUUGAACGCUGGCGGCAUGCUUUACACAUGCAAGUCGAACGGUAACAGGGUGCUUGCACCGCUGACGAGUGGCGAACGGGUGAGUAAUGCGUCGGAACGUGCCGAGUAGUGGGGGAUAACGCAGCGAAAGUUGUGCUAAUACCGCAUACGUACUGAGGUAGAAAGUGGGGGACCUUCGGGCCUCACGCUAUUCGAGCGGCCGACGUCUGAUUAGCUAGUAGGUGAGGUAAAGGCUCACCUAGGCGACGAUCAGUAGCGGGUCUGAGAGGAGGAUCCGCCACACUGGGACUGAGACACGGCCCAGACUCCUACGGGAGGCAGCAGUGGGGAAUUUUGGACAAUGGGCGAAAGCCUGAUCCAGCCAUGCCGCGUGUCUGAAGAAGGCCUUCGGGUUGUAAAGGACUUUUGUCAGGGAGGAAAUCCCUAGCGUUAAUACCGCUGGGGGAUGACAGUACCUGAAGAAUAAGCACCGGCUAACUACGUGCCAGCAGCCGCAGUAA
rnacentral:rRNA from 1 species